GGGGCAAGAGGUAAGGAGGACCUGGAGAGCGGACAGAGGCUCCCCUGGAGCUCCGUGCCCUUCUUGGAGGAGUGCUAUGGCCUCUUCCCCGGCCUGGAGGCGGCGCUUACGGGGAUUCACAAGUUUCUGUGCAGGGCGUAUUCUCUAGAAGGGCUUUGGAAUUAAGAAGACGAAAGCGCGCGGGGUUUCAUCUCUUUAGGUAACCCUGCCUGACUUGAAACUUGAGGUACUCCUGCAACAUCCUGCAUGCUGGAAUUGCAAGCAUGAGCCACGUUCCAUGGGAGAUCAUCUGAAGGAACAAGGCAGAGCAAUAGAGGAAGACACCCAAUAUCUUCUGUCCUACGCAUGUGUGUAUACAGCUCCCAGAGAUGCUGUCUAAGACAGGCAUGGUGGCUCGUGACUACAAUCUCAUCUCCUGAGUGGCUGAAGCAGGAGGACUACCAGGAGACGGAGGCCACAUGAAUAGGAUUGCUUCAAGUUUUUGGCCAGUCUCAGUCAUAUAACAAGACCCUGUCUUAGAAAAUAAACAGCCUGGGGUUGUGGCCCAAGUCUUUAAUUCUAGCACUCAGAGAUAGUGGAUGGCUCUCUAUGAGUUCAAGACCAGCCUGGUUUACCUGAGACCAUAUUUAGAAGAAGAAGAAAGAGGAAGAGGAGUCCUAGGUACUAGGAGUACAAGUGUGUACCACCGCAUCCGUAGUGAAUUCUUUCUUAUGGGCUCUUAAUUUGUUCUGGUCUUUUUCAUAUUACGCUUAUUGCAGAGCAGGAACAACUAUAAAAUAAAAAUUUAAAGGCAAACACA
rnacentral:lncRNA from 1 species